rnacentral:rRNA from 1 species
UACGAAGGGGGCUAGCGUUGCUCGGAAUCACUGGGCGUAAAGGGUGCGUAGGCGGGUCUUUAAGUCAGGGGUGAAAUCCUGGAGCUCAACUCCAGAACUGCCUUUGAUACUGAAGAUCUUGAGUUCGGGAGAGGUAAGUGGAACUGCGAGUGUAGAGGUGAAAUUCGUAGAUAUUCGCAAGAACACCAGUGGCGAAGGCGGCGACCUGGACGGACACUGACGCUGAGACGCGAAAGCGUGGGGAGCAAACAGG